rfam:Candidatus Zinderia insecticola CARI, complete genome.
GAUUUGAUAGCUCAGUAGGUAGAGCAAAGGACUGAAAAUCCUUGUGUCAGUGGUUCAAUUCCACUUCAAAUCA